AUGACUCUUACACUUGUUUAUGGGAUCAUGACGACGUAUUAAUUGGCUCUUACACAGACACAAAUAAAUAAAGCACCACCACAGAGAAAUGACAACCAAAUAUUUGCCUGCUCCACCAUUCCUACUUCUCAUAUCUCUAUCGUUAGUCCCUCGUUUAAUUACUCUCAUAUCAUAGCAGUUGCUGAAUCUAGCUUUUCUAAGUUUUUUUCAAAAAUCAAAAUGGCACUUCCCAAUCUUUGCUUUGUCGUUUUAAUCCUAAAAGUUUCCUUUUUUCUCCUUGCAUCAACCCAAGUUAGAGCAGCCACCUCUGACUCAAGCUUGUUCCGAGAAUACAUUGGAGCAUUGUUCAAUGGUGUCAAAUUCUCAGAUGUACCCAUAAACCCAAAUGUAAAUUUUCACUUUAUUUUGUCCUUCGCUAUUGACUACGACACAUCAUCAGGUUCACCUUCUCCCACCAACGGAAAAUUUAACAUCUUUUGGGACAACCAAAACCUCACCCCUUCCCAAGUUUCUUCCAUUAAGGCCAAAAAUCCAAACGUUAAGGUAGCCCUUAGUCUCGGAGGAGACACUGUUUCAAGUGCUUUUGCUUACUUUGAUCCAACUUCAGUUGAUUCAUGGGUUUCCAACGCGGUUUCUUCACUCACCAACAUAAUCAAAGAGUACAACUUGGACGGAAUCGACAUUGACUAUGAGCAUUUCAAGGCAGAUCCUGAAACUUUUGCUCAGAGCAUUGGAAAAUUGAUACAAACUCUGAAAAGCAGUGGGGUCAUCACUUUUGCUUCAAUUGCUCCUUUUGAUAAUGAUGAAGUUCAGAGUCAUUAUUUGGCCUUGUGGAAGAGUUAUGGGCACAUCAUAGAUUACGUUAAUUUUCAGUUUUAUGCAUAUGACAGAAGCACCACCGUAUCUCAGUUUAUUGAUUACUUUAACAAACAAAGCUCGAAUUAUAAUGGUGGGAAGGUUUUGGUGAGUUUCAAUAGUGAUGGGAGUCGAGGGUUGAUCCCUGAUAAUGGAUUCUUCACUGCGUGUAGUAUGCUCAAGACUCAGCAAAAACUUCAUGGUAUCUUUGUGUGGUGUGCUGAUGACUCCAAGGCAAAUGGUUUCAGCUAUGAGAAGCAAUCACAGGACCUUUUGGUGACUGCCAAUUAGGUUUUGAAGUUGACCAAUUUUAAUAUGUUAGUGCGCUUGAUGGCUAUUACAUUUAAAUUAAUAACGUUUGUGUGUGUAAUGAUGUAUACAUACAUGUAACCCGAUGUAGGCAUGUAGCUUAAGCCUCCUGUCUUGAAUGUGUGUAAACAGACGUGUGCUGGAAUCAUAAUUUUACUUUACUCUUUUAAUAGUUGAUUUAGGAACCACAUUUUACUUCACUCGCGAAUAAACACAGCCAUAAACCAUUUGUUUUCUCAUGUUGAUUCAGAUCAUGGGACAAAAAAGAAAACACGUGUUAUUCUGGGUAAUGGGUAAUUUUUGUUUGGGACGCAACUCCAUUUUCUCCUCCAAAGUGGGCCUAUGCAUGGAGAAAGCAGUGGUUCCCAGUUGGGACUUAGAAGUACUCUUUGACUCUUUCUAUGUUACUAGUGUUUUUUUAUUAUUA